AUUGGCCAGUUACUCUAUUUGGACCUAGAGUCUUCAGUGUCCAGUGGUUGCCAAGAGGAAAUGUAAUUACACCAGUAGAAUUGGAGGGUAAGAAACCUCCCCUCCCAGCCAGGCAUGAUCACCCACUCUUAGCAGAGUGAGUCACUUCAUCUACAUGGCUUAGAUAAUCAACAGGAAUCCUCAGUCAUUGCUGGUAAAUGAGGACAAGGGAAACAAUUGCU
rnacentral:lncRNA from 1 species